GACAGAUUGAGAUAUAUUUGAAACACUGAGGUCAGAGAGCUCUGAACUACAGUGUUUAUCACAGAAUGGAAAUUACAAUCAUCUGGACUUUGUUAUUUGUAGUUAGUAUUCAUGGAGUUUGGAGUGAGAUCAAACUGGACCAGUCUCCCUCUGAGGUGAAAACACCUGGAGAGACAGUGAAGAUGUCAUGUAUCAUAUCCGGUUAUAGCAUGACGAGCUACAAUAUGGGCUGGAUACGACAGAAGCCAGGGAAAGCUCUGGAGUGGAUUGGGUAUAUGGUCACAGGUUCAAACUCUGCUAGCUAUGCCAGCUCCUUUCAAAGUGGUUUCCUCAUGACUGAAGACGUGUCCAGCAGCACUCAGUACCUCGAGAUCAGGAGCCUGACAGCAGAAGAUUCUGCUGUUUACUUCUGUGCUCGACAGACACAGUGACUGAAGACAGUGGAGCAGCUGCA